AGCCGAGUAGCUAAGUGCGGAAGAGAUAACCGCUGAAAGCAUCUAAGCGGGAAACUCGUCUCAAGAUGAGUCUUGCCGGGGCCUUGAGCCCCCUGAAGAGUCGUUCGAGACCAGGACGUUGAUAGGCCGGGUGUGGAAGCGCGGUAACGCGUUAAGCUGACCGGUACUAAUUGCUCGUGAGGCUUGACCCU
rnacentral:rRNA from 1 species